GCUAACGGCAGUUGCGUCAUGAAAAUGACAGGACGGGUCGGGGUUGGCAUCGAAAGGCCAACAGGUAGUGCAGCGGAAGGUAAGAAAACCGUCACGCGAAACUAAGUCGGGAAAACCGAAUGAUACG
rnacentral:sRNA from 12 species